UUGUACGCCAAUGGAAUCCCAGACCCCUCCUCUUUCUUCUGCUUCAAAUGAACAAACCACAAAAGAAGAACUCAACAUUCAAUUUCAAACCCCAAAAUCUUCUUCUUCGUCUCCUUUUUCUGCAGUAGUAAAUAUUAGGCUAUGGAGGCCAGCAGCGCAGCGAAACCUUAGAAACCAAUGGUCGAAGUUGGCUUCUUUAUGGCAAGAUUGGCAGUCUUGCUCGUCCGCUACUCGCUCUCAAGCCACUACUCUUGUCAACUCCUAUCUCUCCCAGAAGUAUAUGGAUGCGAUGGAUUUGGGAAUUUUGAGUGGCAUGCUAAGUAUUCGGAAAAAAGCCUCUUCGAAGUUGUUUAAGCAACAAGUUAGUGUGUUUGCUAAAAACUUGGUUUCUUUUCUUUUAAACAGCUUUUAUUGAAAAUAGUGAUUGAGAUAGAGCCUUUGGUUGCUUUUGUGAAGAACUAACUUAGGAGAAAUUAGGUUUGGUUUUCGCAAAUUUGUGCUUGUUUAGAUGAAAUGGUCUAGACAAUGGUUAUAGUAGUAUCUGUAGAGUGCUGUUAUAGGAAAUUAUGUGUGAUCUGGUGUACAGUUAUCAAUUAAGGCUAUGUUUGGUUUGUUUAUGGGAAUUGGAUUUGCAUUGAAUUUGAUGUACUGUUAGUAAUGUGACUUGAGUAAUUCGGUCUAAUUUCAAUUCUCAUGUGGAACCAAAAUGCCCAGAAGGGUGCAUUCAAAAUUUGACAUUUUAUGCUUUGUAUAUGGGCUUGAAGGAACAGAGUUGAUGGUAAGAAAUUUUUGCACUUACCAGGAUUGCUUUGUUAAUUUAUCACUCUCUCUAAACUUGUAUGUGGUGACCUCAACUGUAGCUAUGUGUGAUGUUGUUGAUAAAUGUGUAAAUAUCAAGCACUAUUGGAUCAAGCGUUUUGUGAGCUUGAGUAUAUUUGCAUUUCCACAUAUUCAUUGAUUGUUCAUUAGGUUCUUUUCAUGCCAGGCUUUGAUAGGAUUUGGCAGGGUCAAUGCCAGAAAAACAUACAAUUCCUUAAAACUGUUGUGUUUGGCUGUUGGGUUUGUUAUGGUACAUCAGUAUCAUACCUUGCAAAGAAUUAUUGGAGGAAAUAGAGAAGAGAACCUGCUUUUCUAUUUUUUUUUUUUUAACUACUUUGAUUGCUGAGGUCAACGUAGAGAGAAGCAGGGUGGAUGAAAUAUUUGCUAGCACAGGAGCUGAAAUGCACGUGACUCUUUCUUGAAGUUGUGGUGCUGGAGUUAAUGCAAAAGGGAGGGCAUGCUUCUAAAUGUCCACAGCAAUACUACCAGGUUCCUUCAUGACAGCAAGUCAACCUUCGAUACUUGGAAAGUCUUGGGAAGAUCGAAAAUGUAGAUUUCUCAGUACUCAAUUGAUAGCAAGAUUGACAUGCUCUGAUUUCAAGCUCAGUAGACAUCUCCAAGACAUUGUGACCAAAUGAGAACAAAUGAUGAAGAUAUAAAAAUCUGAGCGUUUUUUCACUUGCACUUGGCAUGACUAGAGAUUGGGCUGUCUUUUGAAAUCAAAAUUUUGCGUUGGGCUCAACAUGGUUAAGGUGUCUGAAUAGCCAUUCUUUCAUUUCAACAAAGGGAUUUGAUGCCUUCUGCUUGCAAUAUCUUAGUUGUUUUGACUUCUUUUUGCUUCUCACGCAAAAAGAUUGAGGUUUGUUCCUUAAAGAAAAGGAGGUAGAUUAGCUCCUUAUUACUUGAGCCCUUUCUUCCCAGUUGUAACGAGUAGUCUAUUUAUCGGGGGUAUCAACCUCCUGGUAUGCUCAAGUAUGGUAAGAAAACUGGUAGUGAAUUCCCAGAUGUUUGUGUUGAUCUGAAGUCUGACAGGAAUGGCAAUUAAUUUAGAGAUGCAGGAUCAUGCUUGUUGC